GAAAGAAUAACUGUAAUUGCUGAAAAUACUGUGAAUGUAUAUGUAUGGGACUACUUUACCAAAAUGAAGAUAUAUAUCUAAAACUUGAUACACUUUACGAAGAAGCAGAGAUGACACCUAUAAUGCAUCCAUCUUUAUAUGCUCAAAAGUAUGUGACCAGAUCUAGGACUCCAUUAUGUAUUGAAUGUCCUGUAGAGCAAGGAAAAUCCACACCUGCCCUCAAGAGUUAUGGGUUUUCCAGCCAAUUCUUAAUUUUGUAGUCUGAGAUAACUCCUCAUCUGCAGUAUAUUCCAGCAUACAUGAGCCUAUAGCUCCUCAGAGUGGAAGCAGGAUUGCUGGCGCUUCUGCUUUGUAAAAUCAUCUCUGUUUUCACAAGAAAUGAAGGAGACAGUGUUGAAGGGUUGUUGCCAGUGGAUGGAGAAAUCCAUGGAUAUGAAAAUCAUAUAAUGAUUACCUCUACAACCUCAGUCUCUGAACACUUGGAACAGACUAUUUCACUCCUCUAAAUACCUGUGAAGAAACUUAAGUGAGAAAUGGAUUUAUUCUGUACAGAUCCAAAUCCGUUCACAGACUCCUGUCUUAGAAAAAUAAAGCCUGACUUGUUCUCCUGAUAAUAUUGUACUGCAACCAGCAUGUGAACUUCAAAGAUACGUGAAGAUACGUCAUUUAUGUUUCGUGAGAUUAAAAGGAAGAUCGUUUGGUAUGAGCAUAUCUUCGCAUACUGAUGCUAAAAUCUGUCAUUAGA